CUAAGGAAUUUGUUUGACGCAAUGAUGUUUCAUCAUUUGCCAAUCAAACAUCACGGAAACUACACAUCGUUUGCUCUUUGUUCAGUUUUGAGAGGUUUACUCUCAAUUUAAUUGUAUUUUGCUCAUUGAAAACUGGAUAUUGAAGAAAAGAAAUAUAACAAACCAAGAACAUUGUGUUGGAUGAUUGUUACAUGAUUCCAAUUACUUUAUUUAUUUUAUCUUUGAUCGCGUUUCUAUCGCUAGAAACAACGUCAAAAACCCAACCGUAAGGUUGAGAA
rnacentral:misc_RNA from 1 species